GAUGAACGCUAGCGGCAGGCCUAAUACAUGCAAGUCGAACGAGAUUAAGGGGCUUGCUCCUUAUGAAAGUGGCGCACGGGUGCGUAACGCGUAUGCAACCUACCUUAAUCAGGGGGAUAGCCCGAAGAAAUUCGGAUUAACACCGCAUAAAAACACAGUACAGCAUUGUACAAUGUUCAAAUAUUUAUAGGAUUAAGAUG
rnacentral:rRNA from 1 species